rnacentral:lncRNA from 11 species
CUAGGCCCCCUUCCAAAGCUGGCUUUACACUGCAGGAUAUGAUCAGUGUAGUAGACUCAUACAAUGCAGUUCACUCUGCAUUAUGCAGAUCUACACCCACCAUAUGAUACACUGAUGACCAUAGGAUGCAGGUCCGUCUGCAUGGUAUGGGAUUGCAGAUGCAGGCAAAGCAGAAGGCGGGUGAGGGGUGGGCAUUGGGGCGGGGCUUGAGAGGGCCUCUCGGGGAGCCCGGCCCCCAAACCUCUGCCCCGGGGCCGCUCUCGGAAGUGACGCCUCCCCAGCAGCAGGAGCAGGAGGCAACGGAGGGGCUCGAAGUUGGCUUCUGGGGCGGCUCUGGAGCAGCGGAACAAGUUUGGAGACUAGGACGCGGAACAAUGGCUUCAAACUAA